UUUCUAGGGCUCCAGAACCAUCAGCGGCUCUUCUUGCUCCUUUGGCGGGCCAGGCACCGUCUGCACCUGAGCCAGCAACUCGCUAUCCCGAUCAGGUCACUGUGCGCAGAUCUACUCGGUCAACAGCUGGCCAACACCAGAAUCCCCAUCAUCUCCCAAGGUCCAUAGCUGGACAGCCGUCUAGGGGAGUUGAUGUGGCCGAAUCGUCAUCUAGGGCCACCUAUGUAGUGUUUAGACCGUGGUGCUAAGAUGCAUCUCUUCAUCGUCGGGUCGACGAUGCAAACCGGGGGGGUAGAAUGUGGCAUGACCGGCUUUGAGGGUCUAGGCUGCAGGUGCUCUUACCUGGCGUUCCGUGGCGCUGCGCUGGUGGGCUAUUUAAGCGCUCCCUUCUCAGUCGUUCCCCCUUUUGGCUCACACGCUCUUCCGGGCCUCUCCUUGUGGCCGCUCUGUCCUCCCGCUCAGGUAACUUCACUGUGUAACUUCCAUGGCCGUUAUAUCUAAAUUUCCAUCCACGUCUCUUUUUAGUGCCGCUGCUUGGCCACUGCUUGGCCGGUGCUCUGCACCGCAUCAGUCCCUCGCUCCUCCGAGUCGCGGAGCACCUAGGGCGCGCUUUCAUCUCCUCUGACCAAGCUCCACGGGUAAGACGAGUGAAUCCCUCCCCAUUGCGCUUGGCUGUGCGCCGCCGUGUCCCGUAAACCGCGGCGGCAGCGUGUGCCGGUCCACGUGUUUGGACCACGUCUGGACGGUGUUAUUCUGUGUAGUCGCAUUCAGCCUGGGGAUUGCGCACUGUCACACUCAACCACGGUGUCGGCGGGGGCCUGCAGCGGCGUGAGGACACCACCUCUGCUGUUUUGCUUUUAGUUUUAUUUUGUUUUGCUUUUAGUUUUAUUUUGUUUCACUUUUAGUUUUAUUUCGUUUUGCUCUGUUUUGUUUGUUGGGUUCUGUUUGCUUUGUUUCAGUUUUGCUUUGGGUUUUGGGGUUUUGUUUUGCAAUUUCAAUAUUGUGUACCUGUUCACCCACUGUAGUGUUUUACUGGUUGCCUAUUUUUAUGAAUGUAGCUACUUUUAGCAUUUAAAUCUGUCUUUUAAAACAACAGAAAAAUCAAUAAAGAUUGUGUAAUUGAUGGAACCUGGCUCCCUCUCCCUCUAUGAUAUACUUACCUGUGUGCCUUACAUUUACUUAAUUUCCCCAAACUAGAUUUGGGGUGGCGUUGUUGCAGCAACAUAUUAUCACACUUAAACAAUUCCCGGAGCGUUAA